AGCGUAGGUGGCCUAACAUGUCAACUGUGAAGACCCGGAGCUCAACUCCGGACUUGCAGUUGAAACUGGUAGGCUUGAGGACGGUAGAGGAAGACGGAACUGCCAGUGUAGGGGUAAAAUCCUUAGAUAUUGGCAGGAACGCCGGUGACGAAGGUGGUUUUCUGGGCCGGUUCUGACACUGAUGCUCGAAAGCCAGGGGAGCGAACG
rnacentral:rRNA from 1 species